CUCACACCUGGACAGACCUAAUACAGAGCCUUCAGCAGCUAAGUUUUGUCAACUGAACACACAAAGAGACGAGGCAUCAUGUCUUCUAAAGAUUGUCCAUUCCCUGUCUAUCCCCAGGUGCAGACAUUGACUUUGAUGCAGACUUUGUAUAUGACUACCAUAAACUACGUGUUGGAGGUCUG